CACUGGAGUUGGCUACCAAGGCGACGACGGGUAGCCGGCCUGAGAGGGUGACCGGCCACACUGGGACUGAGACACGGCCCAGACUCCUACGGGAGGCAGCAGUGGGGAAUAUUGCACAAUGGGCGAAAGCCUGAUGCAGCAACGCCGCGUGAGGGAUGACGGCCUUCGGGUUGUAAACCUCUUUUAGUAGGGAAGAAGCGAAAGUGACGGUACCUGCAGAAAAAGCACCGGCUAACUACGUGCCAGCAGCCGCGGUAAUACGUAGGGUGCAAGCGUUGUCCGGAAUUAUUGGGCGUAAAGAGCUCGUAGGCGGUUUGUCGCGUCUGCUGUGAAAUCUGGGGGCUCAACCCCCAGCCUGCAGUGGGUACGGGCAGACUAGAGUGCGGUAGGGGAGAUUGGAAUUCCUGGUGUAGCGGUGGAAUGCGCAGAUAUCAGGAGGAACACCGAUGGCGAAGGCAGAUCUCUGGGCCGUAACUGACGCUGAGGAGCGAAAGCAUGGGGAGCGAACAGGAUUAGAUACCCUGGUAGUCCAUGCCGUAAACGUUGGGAACUAGAUGUGGGGACCAUUCCACGGUCUCCGUGUCGCAGCUAACGCAUUAAGUUCCCCGCCUGGGGAGUACGG
rnacentral:rRNA from 1 species